AAUGCAGGUGCUAAAUUGAAGAAUAGAUGGAAAGAUUUAUGUGCAUUCAAAGUAUUUCCUACCAAAUGCAGUACAUCAUUACAACUAUUUGAACUUGCUGAUGACUACAUUCAACAAGAGAUAAGAAAGCCUACGAAGGAAACAACUUGCUCUUUGGAAACAGGAUGGUUCUCAAGGCAUGUGCUUGCUCUUAUAAGAAAGCGUGUG